rnacentral:rRNA from 1 species
AUUGGGCGUAAAGAGCUUGUAGGCGGUUUGUCGCGUCUGCUGUGAAAGCCCGGGGCUUAACCCCGGGUUUGCAGUGGGUACGGGCAGACUAGAGUGCAGUAGGGGAGACUGGAAUUCCUGGUGUAGCGGUGAAAUGCGCAGAUAUCAGGAGGAACACCAAUGGCGAAGGCAGGUCUCUGGGCUGUAACUGACGCUGACUAAGCGAAAGCAUGGGGAGCAAACAGGAUUAGAUACCCUGGUAGUCCAUGCCGUAAACGUUGGGCACUAGGUGUGGGGAACAUUCCACGUUUUCCGCGCCGUAGCUAACGCAUUAAGUGCCCCGCCUGGGGAGUACGGCCGCAAGGCUAAAACUCAAAGAAAUUGACGGGGGCCCGCACAAGCGGCGGAGCAUGCGGAUUAAUUCGAUGCAACGCGAAGAACCUUACCAAGGCUUGACAUAUACUAGACCGCCUCAGAGAUGGGGUUUCCCUUCGGGGCUGGUAUACAGGUGGUGCAUGGUUGUCGUCAGCUCGUGUCGUGAGAUGUUGGGUUAAGUCCCGCAACGAGCGCAACCCUCGUUCUAUGUUGCCAGCACGUAAUGGUGGGGACUCAUAGGAGACUGCCGGGGUUAACUCGGAGGAAGGUGGGGAUGACGUCAAAUCAUCAUGCCCCUUAUGUCUUGGGCUUCACGCAUGCUACAAUGGCCGGUACAAAGGGUUGCGAUACUGUGAGGUUGAGCUAAUCCCAAAAAGCCGGUCUCAGUUCGGAUUGGGGUCUGCAACUCGACCCCAUGAAGUCGGAGUCGCUAGUAAUCGCAGAUCAGCAAC